rnacentral:rRNA from 1 species
UACGGGGGGUGCGGGCGUUGUCCGGAAUCACUGGGCGUAAAGGGCGCGUAGGCGGCUUGAUAAGCGUGCGGUGAAAGCCCGGGGCUCAACCCCGGGUCGGCCGUGCGAACUGUCGAGCUGGAGCACUGUAGAGGCAGGUGGAAUUCCGGGUGUAGCGGUGGAAUGCGUAGAGAUCCGGAAGAACACCGGUGGCGAAGGCGGCCUGCUGGGCAGUGGCUGACGCUGAGGCGCGACAGCGUGGGGAGCAAACAGG